AAAUAAUUUUUUAAAUUUUAGUAAUCCUAUGUAAAUAUUUUUAAGCUAUAUUAUGUUCUGUUAUUUUCAGUACGCCUGUUAGGCGAAGGCCUCCUCCUGUUGGUUACGUUUUUCUUAAUAUUUUAUUUUAUUACUCUUGCCAUUUUCACCAUCAGAAGGGUC